CUGGUAACAUUGAUAACAGAACUUUUUGCCACUCGUCUGCAGCCAGUCGAAAUAUUCGCGUUGAAAACUGAAAUUCGAGGGAUUCGAAAUGAGUUGCAACAUAACCCAAAUACUGGCAAUAUUUCAGAGGGAUGACUUCGAUGAUUAUUGGGGGCGAUUGGACUCUUCUGUUAGGCUUAUAGCAACGAAUGCGCUUGAUACGAAUGAUCAAGCAUCCUUACUAGAGAAAAUAAAUCAGGUAAAAUGUAAUCAUCUACCAAAUCUCAGUGAUAUUGUCAACGGUUAUGGCAUGAAGAAACAAUUAAGCAGAUGUUAAACAUUUUGCGAAGUGCAUGCAAAUACAUCCAUUCUCAGACAAGUGACGGUCCAAAAACCAGGACCUUCAGGGGACAAAAAUAAAAGAAUAAAAGUUGCUGAUGAUAUUCUGGCACGGCUUCAAGCGGGGUUUGAGUCAACGAUGAAAGAACUAUCAGGCGAUUUUAACCCACCAAGUGAAGUGACAGACAUUCGAGCUAAACUAAGAGAUGGCCAUCACGUGGUUGUAACCGGAUGCAACAAUAGCCGUUAUUUUGAGACCGCUCUUGCAGCAAUAAAGGGGAUGGAUUAUAAUUACAAACGAUGUGUAGAAAUGCACAAGUCGUCUGAUUGGCGUCACAUUGAUCCAGAAGAUGUAGACUUGGUUUUAUGUAGAGAUCCAUUUGGUAGAAUUUCCUAUGAUGAAAGCAAAGCUAAAGCCAUGGAUGAUAUAUUUAAAAGCAUGAUGCACUCAACAAAGAGAGAUAGUAGCGAUAAAGCCUUGGACAUUGUGA